rnacentral:rRNA from 1 species
UACGUAGGGGGCUAGCGUUAUCCGGAAUUACUGGGCGUAAAGCGCACGUAGGCGGAUCGAUCAGUCAGGGGUGAAAUCCCAGGGCUCAACUCUGGACAGGCGGUGGAAACUACCAAGCUUGAGUACGGUUGGGGCAGAGGGAAUUUCCGGUGGAGCGGUGAAAUGCGUAGAGAUCGGAAAGAACACCAACGGCGAAAGCACUCUGCUGGGCCGACACUGACACUGAGAGACGAAAGCUAGGGGAGCGAAUGGG